AUAUUGUAAUAUACACCCCAGGUAUAAAUAUAUUGUAAUAUACACCCCAGGUAUAAAUAUAUUGUAAUGUACAACCCAGGUAUAAAUAUAUUGUAAUAUAUAACCCAGGUAUUGCACUUCCAGUGACUCUCCACGUUGUCCAGUUGAAGUCCCCUGGCUGAUGGAGAAUGAUGAUGUAGUAUUUACAGACACAUACAUAUAGUAUUUGAUUUUAAAUUCCAACAUAAAUUGAUGUCAAUUGAUACAUUUAUGUACAUUCAUUUUACAGUGUUCAGUAGGUAAGCUAAGCACUACUCCAUUUUGGUUCAGUAGUUAUGAAACUAUAUAGGUAAGCUAAGCACUUCUCCAUUUUGGUUCAGUAGUUAUGAAACUAUAUAGGUAAGCUAAGCACUACUCCAUUUUGGUUCAGUAGUUAUGAAACUAUAUAGGUAAGCUAAGCACUACUCCAUUUUGGUUCAGUAGUUAUGCGUUUUGAGCUGUUUGAUUAAGUGACAAAUGUAUUGUUGACAAGUGACAAGAAAAUCAUAUCCAAAGAAAAGUGAAUAUUGCAUUUUGAAAGGCAGAUACUUGAAUACUUGAAUAUGUGUGCAAAUUGAAAGAGUGA
rnacentral:lncRNA from 13 species